rnacentral:rRNA from 1 species
AUUGCCCCAGUAACGGCGAGUGAAGCGGCAACAGCUCAAAUUUGAAAUCUGGCCUUCGGGUCCGAGUUGUAAUUUGUAGAGGAUGCUUUUGGUGAGGUGCCUUCCGAGUUCCCUGGAACGGGACGCCAUAGAGGGUGAGAGCCCCGUCUGGUCGGACACCGAUCCUCUGUAAAGCUCCUUCGACGAGUCGAGUAGUUUGGGAAUGCUGCUCUAAAUGGGAGGUAUAUGUCUUCUAAAGCUAAAUAUUGGCCAGAGACCGAUAGCGCACAAGUAGAGUGAUCGAAAGAUGAAAAGCACUUUGAAAAGAGAGUUAAAAAGUACGUGAAAUUGUUGAAAGGGAAGCGCUCAUGACCAGACUUGGGCUUGGUUGAUCAUCCAGGGUUCUCCCUGGUGCACUCUUCCAGUUCAGGCCAGCAUCAGUUCGCUGUGGGGGAUAAAGGCUUUGGGAAUGUGGCUCCCUCGGGAGUGUUAUAGCCCAUUGUGUAAUACCCUGUGGUGGACUGAGGUUCGCGCAUUCGCAAGGAUGCUGGCGUAAUGGUCAUCAGCGACCCGUCUUGAAACACGGACCAAGGAGUCGUCUUCGUAUGCGAGUGUUCGGGUGUUAAACCCCUACGCGUAAUGAAAGUGAACGCAGGUGAGAGCUUCGGCGCAUCAUCGACCGAUCCUGAUGUUCUCGGAUGGAUUUGAGUAAGAGCAUACGGGGCCGGACCCGAAAGAAGGUGAACUAUGCCUGUAUAGGGUGAAGCCAGAGGAAACUCUGGUGGAGGCUCGCAGCGGUUCUGACGUGCAAAUCGAUCGUCAAAUAUGGGCAUGGGGGCGAAAGACUAAU